rnacentral:rRNA from 1 species
ACUUUCAACAACGGAUCUCUUGGUUCUGGCAUCGAUGAAGAACGCAGCGAAAUGCGAUAAGUAAUGUGAAUUGCAGAAUUCAGUGA